UACGUAGGGGGCAAGCGUUGUCCGGAAUCAUUGGGCGUAAAGCGCGCGUAGGCGGCCCGGUAAGUCCGCUGUAAAAGUCCAGGGCUCAACCCUGGAAAGCCGGUGGAUACUGUCGGGCUAGAGUCCGGAAGAGGCGAGUGGAAUUCCUGGUGUAGCGGUGGAAUGCGCAGAGUAUCAGGAAGAACACCCGUGGCUAAGGCGGCUCUCUAGUACGGUACUGACGCUGAGACGCGAAAGCGUGGGGAGCGAACAGG
rnacentral:rRNA from 1 species